AUACGUAGGUGGCAAGCGUUGUCCGGAAUUAUUGGGCGUAAAGCGCGCGCAGGUGGUUCCUUAAGUCUGAUGUGAAAGCCCCCGGCUCAACCGGGGAGGGUCAUUGGAAACUGGGGAACUUGAGUGCAGUAGAGGAUAGUGGAAUUCCACGGGUAGCGGUGAAAUGCGUAGAGAUUUGGAGGAACACCAGUGGCGAAGGCGACUGUCUGGUCUGUAACUGACACUGAGGCGCGAAAGCGUGGGGAGCAAACAGGAUUAGAUACCCUGGUAGUCCACGCCGUAAACGAUGAGUGCUAAGUGUUGGGGGGUUUCCGCCCCUCAGUGCUGCAGCUAACGCAUUAAGCACUCCGCCUGGGGAGUACGGUCGCAAGACUGAAACUCAAAGGAAUUGACGGGG
rnacentral:rRNA from 1 species